rfam:Pteropus alecto contig76780, whole genome shotgun sequence.
GUCUACGGCCAUGCUACCCUGAACAAGCCUGAUCCCGUCUGAUCUCGGAAGCUAAGUAGGGUUGGGCUUGGUUAGUACUUGGAUGGUAGACCACCUGGGAAGACCAGGUGCUGUAGGCA